ACGGGAGGCAGCAGUGAGGAAUAUUGGUCAAUGGGCGGAAGCCUGAACCAGCCAAGUCGCGUGAAGGAUGAAGGUAUUAUGUAUUGUAAACUUCUUUAGACGUAGAGAAAUAAGGUGCUCGUGAGCACUGAUGCUAGUAUACGUAGAAUAAGGAUCGGCUAACUCCGUGCCAGCAGCCGCGGUAAUACGGAGGAUCCGAGCGUUAUCCGGAUUUAUUGGGUUUAAAGGGAGCGCAGGCGGAGAUGCAAGCCAGCCGUAAAAUCGUUGAGCUCAACUCAAUCUCGCGGUUGGAACUGCAUCCCUUGAGUGCACCAGAGGGCGGUGGAAUUCGUGGUGUAGCGGUGAAAUGCAUAGAUAUCACGAAGAACUCCGAUUGCGAAGGCAGCUGCCUGGGGUGUUACUGACGCUCAUGCUCGAAGGUGCGGGUAUCAAACAGGAUUAGAUACCCUGGUA
rnacentral:rRNA from 1 species